rnacentral:lncRNA from 1 species
AGAACAGGUAGUAGAAGAGGAGCCGACUGUAAAGAAGAAAAAGAAGAAGGAUAAAAAGAAACACAUAAAGGAAGAGCCACUUUCCGAGGAGGAGCCAUGCACCAGCACAGCAGUUCCUGUAUGUGAUUUUGGUGUCGUUUUAUCUUUUGAGUUUAUUUCAGGGUAUUUAAGAACAGACGUUAAGCACAGAUGUUUAUAAUAGGUGCUGUAUUAUUAGUCAGAAAUGACCAGGUGUGUGAUAGGGAAAAUGUAGUAGAAAAACAAAAGUGCAUAAUGGUAUUUUUGUUAGGGAGGCCACUUCUCAAUUUUAGUUGUUUUGUUUUUUUUUUUUUUGGUUUUUUUUUUUUUAUGUAUUUUAAAUGUAGGAGUGUUCUGUCUGCAUGUACACCUACAUGCCAGAAGAGGGCCCCAGAUCUCUUUAUAGAUGGUUGUGAGCCACCAUGUGGUUGCUGGGAAUUGAACUCAGGACCUCUGGAAGAACAGCUCUUAACUGCUGAUCUAUCUCACAAGCCCUCAAAUUUAGUUUCUUACGGUGAAGAGAGUUUACUGUGCUAAGACAUGAACCUAACUAAAGCCUUAUACGUGCAAGGUAAGUACUGUUACCAUGCUCCCAGCUCAUGGUUUAUUGAAGCUUGCUUUGUUACAUUACAGUUGCUCCCAGCUCAUGGUUUAUUGAAGCUUGCUUUGUUACAUUACAGUUUCAGGUUGUUUUGGUACAAAAUUCAUUUUCUAAGAGUAGAUUUUGCACUUAAUACGGAAAAAGUUAAUAAUUAUCACUAUUUGAAAAAGCAUUCUUGUUGGUUAUUUUUAGAGUCCAGAGAAAAAGAAGAAAAAGAAAAAAAAGAAAGAUGCUGAAGACUAAUGUAAAGGAACCGUAAUCCUGUCACCUGAACACAUCAUGCUUAAGAUUCAGUUGGGAGCAUAUCAGACGCUCUAACAUAAUCAAGGGAGGUUGAUUAGCUUUAGCUUUUCAAACCUUUUUGUGUCUUGACAUCAACUGUUAACCUUAGAGUCUUUGAUACACAAAUAAAAAUAUUUUCUUUGUAUUAU